UACUCCACCACAAAGAGACUUUGAAGAUAGAUAUAACAACGAUGAACUUGGUGAUACAAUACUACAGUGUGAAGGAAUACCCAAUGGUAUGCCAGAUGUUGACUUAAAUAAUGACUUGGAUGACAACAUCUUAACAUACGUACGAGCAGAUUGUGAAGGCACAUGGAUACCUACAUAAUAUUAUAAGCCUUUGAUUCAUACAUCACAUGGAUAACUUUAGUGAUGAAGAAGCUGGUGUUGAAAAUGAAACCCCAAAGCAGAUAUGUAGACCACGAGGACCAACUAUUAUGUUCGAUGUCACUCGCAUUAGAAGUUUGGGAGAGAAGAAGGUGGUGAUG